rnacentral:rRNA from 1 species
GAUGAACGCUGGCGGCGUGCCUAACACAUGCAAGUCGAACGGAGUCCAGCCUUUAAGACCUUCGGGUCAAAGAGGGGAAGACUGAGUGGCGGACGGGUGAGUAACACGUGGGCAACCUGGCUCAUAGAGGGGGAUAACAGAGAGAAAUUUCUGCUAAUACCGCCUAAGCACACACUGCCGCAUGGCAGAGGGUGAAAAGAGAAUCGCUAUGAGAUGGACCCGCGUCUGAUUAGCCAGUUGGCAGGGGAAGAGCCUACGAACGCGACGAUCAGUAGCCGAUCUGAGAGGAAGAACGGCCACAUUGGGACUGAGGCACCGCCCAAACUCGGACGGGAGGCAGCAGUGGGGGAUAUUGCACAAUGGGGGGAACCCUGAUGAAGCGACGGCGCGUGAGUGAAGAAGUAGGGCGGUAUGUAAAGCUCGAUCAGCAGGGAAGAUAAUGACAGUACCUGAAUAAGAAGCCACGGCUAACUACGUG